UACAGAGGUCUCAAGCGUUGUUCGGAUUCAUUGGGCGUAAAGGGUGCGUAGGUGGCGCGGUAAGUCGGGUGUGAAAUCUCGGAGCUUAACUCCGAAAUUGCAUUCGAUACUGCCGUGCUUGAGGACUGGAGAGGAGACUGGAAUUCAUGGUGUAGCAGUGAAAUGCGUAGAGAUCAUGAGGAAGACCAGUGGCGAAGGCGGGUCUCUGGACAGUUCCUGACACUGAGCACGAAGGCCAGGGGAGCAAACGGG
rnacentral:rRNA from 1 species